UAGGGAAUCUUCCGCAAUGGGCGAAAGCCUGACGGAGCAACGCCGCGUGAGUGAUGAAGGUCUUCGGAUCGUAAAACUCUGUUAUUAGGGAAGAACAAAUGUGUAAGUAACUAUGCACGUCUUGACGGUACCUAAUCAGAAAGCCACGGCUAACUACGUGCCAGCAGCCGCGGUAAUACGUAGGUGGCAAGCGUUAUCCGGAAUUAUUGGGCGUAAAGCGCGCGUAGGCGGUUUUUUAAGUCUGAUGUGAAAGCCCACGGCUCAACCGUGGAGGGUCAUUGGAAACUGGAAAGCUGGAGUGCGGAGGAGGAAAGUGGAAGUCCAUGUGUAGCGGUGAAAUGCGCAGAUAUAUGGAGGAACACCAGUGGCGAAGGCGACUUUCUGGUCUGUAACUGACGCUGAUGUGCGAAAGCGUGGGGAUCAAACAGG
rnacentral:rRNA from 1 species